CCUACGGGAGGCAGCAGUGAGGAAUAUUGGUCAAUGGCCGUAAGGCUGAACCAGCCAAGCCGCGUGAAGGACGACUGUGCCAAGCAUUGUAAACUUCUUUUGUCCAGGGACAAAAUCAGCCUCGAGAGCCUGAUCGAGGGUACUUCAUGAAUAAGCAUCGGCUAAUUCCGUGCCAGCAGCCGCGGUAAUACGGAGGAUGCGAGCGUUAUCCGGAUUUAUUGGGGUUAAGGGGUGCGUAGGCGGACUUUUAAGUCAGCGGUAAAAGUCCGUGGCUCAACCCCGGCGUGCCGUUGAAACUGGCUGUCUUGAGAUGUCGGGAGGUAUGCGGAAUGCGCAGUGUAGCGGUGAAAUGCUUAGAUAUUGCGAAGAACUCCGAUUGCGAAGGCAGCAUACCGGCGGCGAACUGACGCUGAGGCACGAAAGCGUGGGUAUCGAACAGGAUUAGAUACCCGAGUAGUC
rnacentral:rRNA from 1 species